ACGCUAGCUAUAGGCUUAACACAUGCAAGUCGAGGGGAAACGGCAUUAUGUGCUUGCACAUUUUGGACGUCGACCGGCGCACGGGUGAGUAUCGCGUAUCCAACCUUCCCUCCACUCGGGGAUACCCCGUUGAAAGACGGCCUAAUACCCGAUGUUGUCCACAUAUGGCAUCUGACGUGGACCAAAGAUUCAUCGGUGGAGGAUGGGGAUGCGUCUGAUUAGCUUGUUGGUGCGGGUAACGGCCCACCAAGGCUACGAUCAGUAGGGGUUCUGAGAGGAAGGUCCCCCACAUUGGAACUGAGACACGGUCCAAACUCCUACGGGAGGCAGCAGUGAGGAAUAUUGGUCAAUGGACGUAAGUCUGAACCAGCCAAGUAGCGUGCAGGAUUGACGGCCCUAUGGGUUGUAAACUGCUUUUGUUGGGGAGUAAAGUGAGGCACGCGUGCCUUUUUGCAUUUACCCUUCGAAUAAGGACCGGCUAAUUCCGUGCCAGCAGCCGCGGUAAUACGGAAGGUCCAGGCGUUAUCCGGAUUUAUUGGGUUUAAAGGGAGUGUAGGCGGUCUGUUAAGCGUGUUGUGAAAUUUAGGUGCUCAACAUCUACCUUGCAGCGCGAACUGGCGGACUUGAGUGCACGCAACGUAUGCGGAAUUCAUGGUGUAGCGGUGAAAUGCUUAGAUAUCAUGACGAACUCCGAUUGCGAAGGCAGCGUACGGGAGUGUUACUGACGCUUAAGCUCGAAGGUGCGGGUAUCGAACAGGAUUAGAUACCCUGGUAGUCCGCACGGUAAACGAUGGAUGCCCGCUGUUAGCGCCUGGCGUUAGCGGCUAAGCGAAAGCAUUAAGCAUCCCACCUGGGGAGUACGCCGGCAACGGUGAAACUCAAAGGAAUUGACGGGGGCCCGCACAAGC
rnacentral:rRNA from 1 species